rnacentral:rRNA from 1 species
AGACGAACGCUGGCGGCGUGCCUAAUACAUGCAAGUAGAACGCUGAAGACUUUAGCUUGCUAGAGUUGGAAGAGUUGCGAACGGGUGAGUAACGCGUAGGUAACCUGCCUAUUAGUGGGGGAUAACUAUUGGAAACGAUAGCUAAUACCGCAUAAUAGUGUUUAACACAUGUUAGAGACUUAAAAGAUGCAAUUGCAUCACUAGUAGAUGGACCUGCGUUGUAUUAGCUAGUUGGUGGGGUAACGGCCUACCAAGGCGACGAUACAUAGCCGACCUGAGAGGGUGAUCGGCCACACUGGGACUGAGACACGGCCCAGACUCCUACGGGAGGCAGCAGUAGGGAAUCUUCGGCAAUGGGGGCAACCCUGACCGAGCAACGCCGCGUGAGUGAAGAAGGUUUUCGGAUCGUAAAGCUCUGUUGUAAGAGAAGAACGUGUGUGAGAGUGGAAAGUUCACACAGUGACGGUAACUUACCAGAAAGGGACGGCUAACUACGUGCCAGCAGCCGCGGUAAUACGUAGGUCCCGAGCGUUGUCCGGAUUUAUUGGGCGUAAAGCGAGCGCAGGCGGUUUAAUAAGUCUGAAGUUAAAGGCAGUGGCUUAACCAUUGUUCGCUUUGGAAACUGUUAAACUUGAGUGCAGAAGGGGAGAGUGGAAUUCCAUGUGUAGCGGUGAAAUGCGUAGAUAUAUGGAGGAACACCGGUGGCGAAAGCGGCUCUCUGGUCUGUAACUGACGCUGAGGCUCGAAAGCGUGGGGAGCAAACAGGAUUAGAUACCCUGGUAGUCCACGCCGUAAACGAUGAGUGCUAGGUGUUAGGCCCUUUCCGGGGCUUAGUGCCGCAGCUAACGCAUUAAGC